rnacentral:lncRNA from 1 species
AUGGAACAUACACAGAGCAAGGCAAAACAAGGCAAGAGAGGAAAGGCAAGCAAGAAAGGAGAAGAUCCAGAGGAUAUUAGAGGAGGAAGAAGUGGUCGGAGAGAUCGCUCACAGGGUAGGAGGAGACCUACAAGCCACAGCAGACAAGACGCUGAGGACAAACAGUGUAAAAAGCUGGAAGUCUCCAAGAAGGCUAAGCCUUCAUUAGCUUCUUUUUCCCUUCACCGAGACUUGCUCUGCGAUGAACCAGAGGAACAGACUGAAGUGCAGACUGAUCACAGCAAGACUAUUCAAGACACAUCGCAGGAGAUGAAAAAGUUGAAGAAUAUGAAGUCAGAGGAGAUCAAGGAUCUGAAAUCACAGCUCCAUACGGUCUCAGAGACAUUGAAGGCUCAGCUCCUUGACAUGGAAGAAGCAGAGCUUGAGUCUCGCACAAAAGCCGAACAGCUAGAGGCCGAUCUUGUAUUAGAGAGGGCUCUUGUUCAGAAGUUGCAGGAAAAACUAGCCAAGACAGAGAAAGACGCUAAGAAGACCCAGGCUUCCCAUCAACGCCAGAUUGAGAAGCAAAGAGAGGAAAACAAGAAGAUCGUAUCUGCCCUGACAAGGGCAGAAGAUCUGCUGGAGAGUGAGCGCCUCUGCUGGCAGCAGGAGAAAACCUCCCUGCUGGAAGAGACGAAAAAAUCCAGAGCUCUCUUCGAGGAUAAGGUGGACGAGCAGAAGCACCAGAACGACACUUUCGUGGCUGCUCUGAAGAAUGUUGAGCAGAAGCUUGACAGUCAUCGGGUGGAGUGGCAGGAGGAAAAGACAUCCCUCAUUCAGGCCACAGAAGACUUCAAGAAGAGGCUGCAGGAUAUGCAACAGGAGGCAAAGGAGGCGGUGCAAAGAUCCCAGGCUUCUCAUCAAGCCCAGCUUGAGGAACACAGAGAGGAAACCAGGAAGAUCACAUCUGCCCUGAAAAAUGCAGAGGGUCUGCUGGAGACCGAGAGCCUCAGCUGGUGGCAGGUGAAAACCUCCCUGCUGGAGGAGAAGGAGAAAUCCACAGCUCUCUAUGAGGCUCAGCUGGACGGGCAGAAACGCGAAAACAAAUCCCUCGCGGUUGCUCUGAAUAAUGUUGAGCAGCAGCUGGAGAGUCAUCAGGUGGAGUGGCUGGAGGAAAAGACAUCCCUCAUUCAGGUCACAGAGGGUCUCAAGAAGACGCUGCAGGAAAAGGAGCAGGAGUGGAAGGAGAAAGAAAGUUCCAUGAAGGCCCAGCUGGAAGAGCUCCUGAGCAAGAAGAAGAAAAAGAAGAAAUGGUACAGGAUGUUCAUCUAG